UCGAUCAUAAGGUUCAAUCAUCUGUCAAUCAUGGAUAGGACGGUCAACAUCAUCAUUAGUAGUCGAAUCAUGAUCAACAGAUGGUAGGGGAUUAUCAGCAGACGAUAUGGAGGAAGAGGAGGGUAUAGAAAAUGGAUUUAAAGGUGUCCCAAGAAAUGCAGGUGUGGGAAGAAUAGUAGGGUUUGAUGUGGGUUGAACAACAAGGUUUGGUGCGAUAGAACAACAACGCCUGGUGAAGGAUGAAGAGGAGAGUUUAGAGUGGAAAGAGCAUGAGGGUUUGCAGCAUGUAAGGGCCCAACAUCUGGUGUAGUGAGGGCAUGUAGGUACGACACUGAUGUAGGAAUCCUUAUUAUAUACAGUGGUUUUCAUUUCCUCGUAGGUUUUCUUAUCGCCUUACCUUUAUAAAAAAGUGAUGCCUUAAAAAAUUGUUCUUUUCAAAAGCUUUGCAAAAUCUUUGAGUUUUCUUAAUCUCAAUAAAGCAAGUAAAAUGAAUCAAAAAUAAAAGAGAAAGGAGAUAAAAAUCAAGACAACGAUAUAUACUGGUUCGGCCAAGCCUACAUCCAGUCUUCCUUCAACAACCUUAGUUGAAGGGAUUCCACUAUAAUGAUAGAGUAUACAAGCAGAAUACAAAUAUAUCCUCUCUCAACUCUCCUUACCCACUCAAUAUCACUUAUAGCAACAAGAUGUGAACACCCUAACAAUCUUACAAAAACAGAGAAUAUACAAGUCUUAAUUGACUCAAAAUAAACUUUAAAUCCCAAGUUCCCACCCAAAAACACAUUCCUCUAGAAUUUCACUUAUCAAAACCCCCCACUAGUAGACUAUCCUUUUAAUCAAUACCUUAACCUUUUACUUACUCAUAUGUCCAACUGAAAAAUCACCAUUUAUUCCUAAAUCUCAACCAAUCAGACUAGUAAUUACCAUUUAAGUUUAACAAGAGACUCCCUCUAACUUUUUCAUUUUAAACUAGGAGAUUUUCAAUAAUCUAAGAAGUUAAACAAGUCACAAAUGAAUAAAAAACAAAACCUAAACAUUCAACUUUUUCCCGAAAUAAAUCUUUUAGAUUUUCACAUGUCAAAACCUCCCAAAUAGACCAUAAAUCAGUCCAAACUCAACAUAUUGACUACAUUAAAGAGUAAAGCAUAUUUCAACCAAUUAAGUCUUAAACACAUCAACUCAAGUGAUCAAACAUGCAAUAUUUAACAAGGACUCGCAAUAGGAAUUUUCAAAGAACACAUAUUCACUCAAAAUACAUGAAGUCAGGCUACCAAAUAGAGAUAUUUCAGCAAGUUCAUAUUCAACCAUUUCAUAUACAACUUCAUAAAUUCCAAAGCAAAACAAGCAUGCAACACAAUUGAUUUAAACAUUUUCAAUAUUAAACACGGAAAAUUAGCUUCCCUUACCUUACAUAGGACCCACCUGCUCUACAAGAACUAAGACGACUCUACAACUCAAGGAACUCAACUCACAUAAACAUGAUCAGGGUAUACUAUUAGAACAACUAAUCAGCAUAGAGUCUUAUAGAAGACUCGAAUGACACAUGCAAAAACACUAUGGCUCGUAUACAAAGGAAACAAGAC
rnacentral:lncRNA from 1 species